UACAGAGGGUGCAAGCGUUAAUCGGAAUUACUGGGCGUAAAGCGUGCGUAGACGGUUAUUUAAGUCAGGUGUGAAAGCCCCGGGCUCAACCUGGGAAUUGCAUUUGAGACUGAAUAGCUAGGGUGCGGAAGAGGGAAGCGGAAUUUCCGGUGUAGCGGUGAAAUGCGUAGAUAUCGGAAGGAACACCAGUGGCGAAAGCGGCUUCCUGGACUGGUCCUGACACUCAGGAGCGAAAGCGUGGGGAGCGAUCAGG
rnacentral:rRNA from 1 species